GUGCUCGUUUCAUCAAAAGUGAAGAGUAGUGAAGAGAUUUUCGGCUGUGAGUAUCUAUUUUCAUUAUUUGGUUUACCAUAACUUCAUCUUCGAUCGAAACUCAAACCUUCCAAAGUGUGCCAAAGUCAAUUACAAUAAUAAUAAUAAUGAUGAUGACUAACUAUUAACUCAUGUCUCACACCUCUAUCUUUUAUGUUAUUUUCGUUUACAGUCAAACAAAUAGCAGAUCUAGUAAAUCUUCAGUUUUUCAUAGAUAUACAAACAAAUAGCGGAAGAUAAGUAAUUUUUAUGCGAAUUCUCGUUAAUCCGAAAGUUUACUUCAAUCUGAACUUCACAUUCAGUAAAACAAACAUGCCUCUUUACUAGAAAAUGCAUUUUUUGAUUCCAAACACUCCC
rnacentral:lncRNA from 1 species